GUAAUUCCUGAGAAAGACAACUGGUAAUCAAAGCAUGCUGGCCGGGCGCGGUGGCUCACGCCUGUAAUCCUGGCACUUUGGGAGGCCGAGAGCUGUGGCGGGCCACCCUCUCCAUGCGCCCAACGUAGACGGCACAGUCCUUCUCAAUCUCCUUCAACUCCUCAAGGGAGAAAAUCACCGAGAUCCGGGGGACGGGGACGUCGGACCAACAGAGACGUAUACGUCGUGGGCAAUGUGCUUCAGAAACACAGGAACACAGUCCUCCACCUCUUUGGAGAUGAGCACGUAGCCAUGUGUCCAGUACGACUUAUCUAAGGUGUCUGACAAAGGACUGCUCUCAAAUGUCUGCCUGGUGGGAGUGCGCGCCCGCCACACCCGCCCAGCCCACUGC